UACGAAGGGGGCUAGCGUUGCUCGGAAUCACUGGGCGUAAAGGGUGCGUAGGCGGGUCUUUUAAGUCAGGGGUGAAAUCCUGGAGCUCAACUCCAGAACUGCCUUUGAUACUGAAGAUCUUGAGUUCGGGAGAGGUGAGUGGAACUGCGAGUGUAGAGGUGAAAAUUCGUAGAUAUUCGCAAGAACACCAGUGGCGAAGGCGGCUCACUGGCCCGAUACUGACGCUGAGGAGCGAAAAGCGUGGGGGAGCAAACAGGG
rnacentral:rRNA from 1 species